GAUGAACGCUGGCGGCGUGCCUAAUACAUGCAAGUCGAGCGAACAGACGAGGAGCUUGCUCCUCUGACGUUAGCGGCGGACGGGUGAGUAACACGUGGAUAACCUACCUAUAAGACUGGGAUAAAUUCGGGAAACCGGAGCUAAUACCGGAUAAUAUAUUGAACCGCAUGGUUCAAUAGUGAAAGACGGUUUUGCUGUCACUUAUAGAUGGAUCCGCGCCGCAUUAGCUAGUUGGUAAGGUAACGGCUUACCAAGGCAACGAUGCGUAGCCGACCUGAGAGGGUGAUCGGCCACACUGGAACUGAGACACGGUCCAGACUCCUACGGGAGGCAGCAGUAGGGAAUCUUCCGCAAAGGGCGAAAGCUUGACGGGGCAAUGCCGCGUGAGUGAUGAAGGUCUUCGGAUCGUAAAACUCUGUUAUUAGGGAAGAACAAAUGUGUAAGUAACUAUGCACGUCUUGACGGUACCUAAUCAGAAAGCCACGGCUAACUACGUG
rnacentral:rRNA from 1 species